rnacentral:tRNA from 1 species
GGGAGUAGCUAGGUAACUGGUGUGCCUCCUGGACUUCAAAUCCAGUGGCAGGGCAGCCCCCUGCGGUGGGUUCGAUUCCCAUCUACUCCC